rnacentral:lncRNA from 1 species
UAUGGAGUUCCCAUUGUUCUUAUUUUCUACCAUAUGCACAUGCAUUUUUGUUCCUAACCUCAAAUUCAAAGCACCGGAAAUCUGCCAAGCUUCCUCCGGGGCUUUAUCCUUUUCCGAUAAUCGGGAACAUUCUACAACUCAGAGAACACCCCCACCAGUCACUGGCCAAAUUUCCCAAACCUAUGGACCUCUUAUGUAUCUUAGAAUGGGCUAUCGUGAAACAAUAGUCGUUUCAUCACCAAAAAUGGCUAAAACUAUACUACAAAAAUAUGAUCAAUCCUUCAGUGGCAGAACCGUUCCCGUGACCCUUGAAUACUCGGAGCAUGACAAGUUUUCUUUGCCGUUUUUGCCAGUUGAUAAUCAAUGGCAUAAACUUCGCAAAAUAUUGAAAGAACAGAUGUUUUCACUGCAAAGGCUAGACGCAAGCCAGGGCAUUCGAUGAGAAAAAUUGCAGAAACUAUGCGACUAUGUGAAUCAAUGUUGUGUUAAUGGUCAUGUAGUGGAUAUAGCUGAUGCUACAUUUACGACCUCACUUAACAUGAUUUCGUCCACUCUUUUCUCAGUUGAUUUUACUGACUUCAAUUCUGAUUCCUCUCAAGAGUUGAAGGAUGUUGUGUGGAAUGUAACUAAAUGUAUUGGUAGUCCUAAUCUUGCAGAUUAUUUUCCAGUUCUUAAAUAUGCUGAUCCACAAGGCAUCUCAUGCCGAACCAGGAUUUAUUUCGGAAAAUUAUAUUCAAUUCUGGAAAGUAUUAUAGAUCAACGGUUGAAAUCGAUUUCAAUCCAGAUUGGUAAUCCAAUCCAGAUUCGUUUAUGCCAGAAAGAUUUUUAGAUCAAAAAAUUGAUUUCAAUGGCAAAGAUUUCAAGUUCAUUCCCUUUGGUGCAGGGAGGAGAAUAUGUCCGGGAUUGCCUUUUGUGCACCAGGUAGUACAUGUCAAAUUGGCCACUGUGAUUCACAACUUGGAUUGGAAACUUGAAGAGGGACUAGAACCAGAAGACAUUGACAUGAGUGAGAAAUACUCAAGUACUC